rnacentral:lncRNA from 1 species
GGUGGAGACCAUUUCUUGGUCAAAAAUCCGUAGGUGUUAGCCUUCGGUAUUAUUGAAAAUGGUCAUUCAUGGCUAUUUUCGGCAAAAUGGGGGUUGUGUGGCCAUUGAUCGUCGACUAGAGGCUCAUACACCUCACCCCACAUAUGUUUCCUUGCCAUAGAUCACAUUCUUGGAUUUCUGGUGGAGACCAUUUCUUGGUCUAAAAUCCGUAGGUGUUAGCCUCUAGUAUUAUUGAAAAUGGUCGCUCAUGGCUAUUUUCAAGGUCGCUCAUGGCUAUUUUCAUAAAAAUGGGGUUGUGUGGCCAUUGAUCAUCGACCAGAGGCUCGUAAACCUCACCCGACCAUUUCUUGGUCAAAAAUCCGUAGGAGUUAGCCUUUGGUAUUAUUGAAAAUGGUCGUUCAUGGCUAUUUUCGACAAAAAUGGGGUUGUGUGGCCAUUGAUCGUCGACCAGAGCUCAUACACCUCACCCCACAUAUGUUUCCUUGUCGUAGAUCACAUUCUUGGAUUUCUGGUGGAGACCAUUUCUUGGUUAAAAAUCCGUAGGUCUUAGCCUCUAGUAUUAUUGAAAAUGGUCGCUCAUGACUAUUUUCAUAAAAAUGGGGGUGUGUGGCCAUUGAUCAUCGACCAGAGGCUCAUACACCUCACCCCACAUAUGUUUCCUUGCCAUAGAUACAUUCUGGAUUUCUGGUGGAACCAUUUCUUGGUUAAAAACUCGUACGUGUUAGCCUUCGGUAUUAUUGAAAAUGGUCAUUCAUGGCUAUUUUCGACAAAAAUGGGGGUUGUGUGGCCAUUGAUCAUCGACCAGAGGCUCGUACACCUCACCCCACAUAUUUUCCUUGCCAUAGAUCACAUUCUUGGAUUUCUGGUGGAGACCAUUUCUUGGUCAAAAAUCCGUAGUGUUAGCCUUUGGUAUUUUGAAAAUGGUCAUUCAUGGCUAUUUUCGACAAAAAUGGGGGUUGUGUGGCCAUUGAUCAUCGACUAGAGGCUCAUACACCUCACCCCACAUAUGUUUCCUUGCCAUAGAUCACAUUCUUGGAUUUCUGGUGGAGACCAUUUCUUGGUCAAAAAUCCGUAGGUGUUAGCCUUCGGUAUUAUUGAAAAUGGUCGUUCAUGGCUAUUUUCGACAAAAAUGGGGGUUGUGUGGCCAUUGAUCAUCGACCAGACGCUCAUACACCUCACCCCACAUAUGUUUCCUUGCCAUAGAUCACAUUCUUGGAUUUCUGGUGGAGACCAUUUCUUGGUCAAAAUCCGUAGGUGUUAGCCUCUAGUAUUAUUGAAAAUGGUGCUCAUGGCUAUUUUCAAGGUCGCUCAUGGCUAUUUUCAUAAAAAAUGGGGGUUGUGUGGCCAUUUAUCAUCGACUAGGCUCAUACACCUCACCCCACAUAUGUUUCCUUGCCAUAGAUUACAUUCUUGGAUUUCUAGUGGAAACCAUUUCUUGGUUAAAAACUCGUACGUGUUAGCCUUCGGUAUUAUUGAAAAUGGUCAUUCAUGGCUAUUUUCGGCAAAAUGGGGGUUGUGUGGCCAUUGAUCGUCGACCAGAGGCUCAUACACCUCACCCCACAUAUGUUUCCUUGUCGUAGAUCACAUUCUUGGAUUUCUGGUGGAGACCAUUUCUUGGUCAAAAAUCCGUAGGUGUUAGCCUUCGAUAUUAUUGAAAAUGGUCAUUCAUGGCUAUUUUCGGCAAAAUGGGGGUUGUGUGGCCAUUGAUCGUCGACCAGAGGCUCAUACACCUCACCCCACAUAUGUUUCCUUGUCGUAGAUCACAUUCUUGGAUUUCUGGUGGAGACCAUUUCUUGGUCAAAAAUCCGUAGGUGUUAGCCUUCGAUAUUAUUGAAAAUGGUCGUUCAUGGCUAUUUUCGACAAAAAUGGGGGUUGUGUGGCCAAUGAUCAUCGACCAGAGGCUCAUACACCUCACCCCACAUAUGUUUCCUUGCCAUAGAUCACAUUCUUGGAUUUCUGGUGGAGACCAUUUCUUGGUCAAAAAUCCGUAGGUGUUAGCCUUCGGU